GUACACCGUGCGUGAGAAGAACCGUAACACCAUCUUACGUGAGAAGAACCAUAACAUCACCUUGCGUGAGAAGAACCAGGACGAUCAUUUCACAACCUUGUAGAACUAUUACAAGAACGCCAAGUGUGAGACGCUCCUUCAGUUAUCCCUGCAUCCAAAGAAGACCAUGCGUCACGAGAAGAGUUAUUAACCCAUGCGUCACCACCAAGCAACCGUUCGUACCAAAGAUAGUUGAAGAUCCAUGCAUCACCACCUUCGAGCAACCAUGCGAACCAACGGUAGUUGAAGAUCCAUGCAUCACCACCUUCCAGCAACCAUGCGAACCAAAGAUAGUUGAAGAUCCAUGCAUCACCACCUUCCAGCAACCAUGCGAACCAAAGAUAGUUGAAGAUCCAUGCAUCACCACCUUCCAGCAACCAUGCGAACCAAAGAUAGUUGAAGAUCCAUGCAUCACCACCUUCCAGCAACCAUGCGAACCAACGAUAGUUGAAGAUCCAUGCAUC